rnacentral:rRNA from 1 species
GGAGCCCAAGCACUUUGAUUUCUCGUAAGGUGCCGAACGAGUCAAAAAAUAACAUCGUCCGAUCCCUAGUCGGCAUAGUUUAUGGUUAAGACUACGACGGUAUCUGAUCGUCUUCGAUCCCCUAACUUUCGUUCCUGAUAAAUGAAAACAUCCUUGGCAAAUGCUUUCGCAGUAGUUAGUCUUCAAUAAAUCCAAGAAUUUCACCUCUGACAAUUGAAUACUGAUGCCCCCGACUGUCCCUAUUAAUCAUUACGGCGGUCCUAGAAACCAACAAAAUAGAACCGCACGUCCUAUUUCAUUAUUCCAUGCUAAUGUAUUCGAGCAUAGGCCUGCCUGGAGCACUCUAAUUUUUUCAAAGUAAAAGUCCUUUCCCCGCCACACCCAGUGAAGGGCAUGGGGUUCCACAGAGGGAAAGGCCCGGCCGGACCAGUGCACGCGGUGAGGCGGACCGGCCAGCCAGGCCCAAGGUUCUACUACGAGCUUUUUAACCACAACAACUUUAAUAUACGCUAUUGGAGCUGGAAUUACCGCGGCUGCUGGCACCANACUUGCCCUCCAAUUGUUCCUCGUUAAGGGAUUUAAAUUGUACUCAUUCCAAUUACAAGACCCAAAAGAGCCCUGUAUCAGUAUUUAUCGUCACUACCUCCCCGUGUCGGGAUUGGGUAAUUUGCGCGCCUGCUGCCUUCCUUGGAUGUAGUAGCCGUUUCUCAGGCUCCUUCUCCGGGGUCGAGCCCUAACCCUCCGUUACCCGUUGUAACCAUGCUAGAACACUACUCUAGCAUCGAAAGUUGAUAGGGAAGAAAUUUGAAUGAACCAUCGCCGGCGCAAGGCCAUGCGAUUCGAGAAGUUAUUAUGAAUCACCAGUGAGCCCCGAAGGGCAUUGGUUUUUAAUCUAAUAAAUACAUCCCUUCGUAAGUCGGGAUUUUUAGCAUGUAUUAGCUCUAGAAUUACCACGGUUAUCCAAGUAGUAAGGUACUAUCAAAUAAACGAUAACUUAUAUAAUGAGCCAUUCGCAGUUUCGCUGUAUAAUUGCUUAUACUUAGAC